ensembl:miRNA
GAGGUGGGAGGAUUGCUUGAGCCUGGGAGGUUGAGGCUGCAGUAAGCUGUGAUUGCACCACUGCACUCCAGCCUGAGUGACAGAGCAGGACCCUGUCUC